AGCUCCAAUAGCGUAUAUUAAAGUUGUUGCAGUUAAAAAGCUCGUAGUUGGAUUUCUGUGGACGUUGGUAGUGGUGGUGCAAACAAUGUACUUGCUACUAUCGGCUCCUCAUAAUGUUCGCCUGCCGUUUUCUGCUCUUAACUGGGUGGUCAGCGGUGGUGGACCGAUUACCUUGAACAAAUUAGAGUGUUCAAAGCAGGCAAUUCUUUUGCCCUGAAUAAAUUAGCAUGGGAUAAUGGAAUAUGACUCGGCUCAAGUUCGUUGGUUAUAUAGAGUCGAGUAAUGGUUAAUAGAGAUUGUCGGGGUCAUUCAUAUUCAAUUGUCAGAGGUGAAAUUCUUAGAUUCUUUGAAGAUGAACUGGUGCGAAAGCGUUUGACAAGGAUGCUCUCA
rnacentral:rRNA from 1 species